rnacentral:rRNA from 1 species
CCCUUAGAUGUCCGGGGCCGCACGCGCGCUACACUGAAGGAAUCAGCGUGGCUUUCUCCCUGACCCGAAAGGGUUGGGAAACCCGUUGAAUCUCCUUCGUGAUAGGGAUUGGGGCUUGAAAUUGUUCCCCAUGAACGAGGAAUUCCCAGUAAGCGCGAGUCAUAAGCUCGCGUUGAUUACGUCCCUGCCCUUUGUACACACCGCCCGUCGCUACUACCGAUUGGGUGAGCCGAUGAAACUCUCGGAUGUAGGCUAUUCAUAGCCCGCAGAAGAGAUUUGAAUCGUAGCGCUUAGAGGAAGGAGAAGUCGUAACA